AAGCAAAAAGCAUCAUUGAUCAUUCUGAUUCUUGCAGGCAAGUUGAUGCCCAUUAAGGAAAACAAACCCCUACAAACCUCUCUUGUCUGUUUGUCUGCUGGGCUGUAAGCAGAAUAGUCUCUGUGGUAUGAAUAAAGUUUUCUUUCUUUUCUGUGCUCUUGUGGAUUUUGUUAGUAUGAGGGCAAGUCACAGGCAGACAUAAUAUUACUCUGGUCAUUUCUAAGGCAGAAGGCUCAACGUUUCAGAUAUUUAUGAAUCAUAAGAAUUUAAAUUAUCACAGAUACACAUAUUUAACUGCAGUAGUGUUAUUUUUACUCAUUUUAAAUGUGAUGCUCUUUAAUUUAUCACAAUUGUGGAUUAGGAGAAUGUGGUGUCUAGGGUACAUGCACUACUUCAUUUAUUCCACUUUGAUAUUUUUAAGCCUUGACCUCAGAACCAUCAAUUUCAAGCUAAGAAUUCAGACAAGAUGAAGAGAAAAUAUGAUGUAACUAAUGUAAUGAAUCACAUGCAUAGCCUGGAUGUAAACAAAGAGGUUAUAAGAGAUGGGUAAUUAACUGAACACAUUCAUUUAUUUUACAUGCAGUGACUUUAAUCCCCUUUCCAUCAAUUAUACAACAUUAUCCAGCGUAUGAUGGACAAAAAGACCAGUCUUUGUUGAGUGGAUGUGGUGGAGAUUCAUGUCAGGGUUUGUUAAAAGUUACAUUAAGUUUCUUUCUUUAAAGUUUGUGUGUAGCAAGUAAUGAAUGUAGUUUAAGGCAUCGUAUUGUUGUUAUUUUAAUACAUUCAUUCAUUUACAUGUGAAACAAAGGAAAACUGAACACAGAAGAUAGCUUAAUGACACAUAAGUUAUACAUUUCAGAAAAGUAAAUGAAAACUGGAACAAGAAAUUUUAAAGUGAGUAAAUGAAUAAACAAAAUAAGGAGAAGCAACCGAAAAACAAAACAGUUACACACACACUCACAUUGAUAAAUAUGGCUUAUAUUAUUAAGAUGAGUGGAAUUUCGUUAAUAGAGUUUAAAUUAAUUUGCAGUUUAUACUUCACAGCUACAACACCGGCUCAGACCCUGAAACCCUAACUGACAUGUACCUCCCUGGAAUGUAACAGACGCAGACGACGAGAGCUGCGGUUGGUCCACUUGAUAGUAGCAUGUUUCUACUUAAUUAUUUCCAGCUGCUUCUCCAUCUCUGCAGUUUUCAAAUUGAUUAUUUUGGAUCAAUAAAGAUGGGACACACUGAUGAAAGGUUAACCGAGGAGGUUCAGAGAUACAAAUACUUGUCGGAUUUGUCUUUGGUGGAAUUUCUUCUCUAUUUUCAGUCUCCAUAGUUUAAAGUGAAGCAGGACGUAGAAGCAAAAAUGAACCAGACUGGCAAAAAAGACACAGCGUCGUCCAGUGGUUGGAUGGUGUAGGUUACACCAUCUACCUACCGCACAAGUAUAAACCGUGCUUGAUUCAUCUUUUUUUUUUUUUCAUGUUUAA